rnacentral:rRNA from 1 species
UACGGAGGGUGCGAGCGUUGUCCGGAAUCACUGGGCGUAAAGGGCGCGUAGGUGGCGACCCAAGUCAACGGUGAAAGCUCGACGCUCAACGUCGAGUCGGCCGUCGAUACUGGGUUGCUCGAGCACUGUAGAGGCUCAUGGAAUUCCGGGUGUAGCGGUGGAAUGCGUAGAGAUCCGGAAGAACACCGGUGGCGAAGGCGGUGAGCUGGGCAGUUGCUGACACUGAGGCGCGACAGCGUGGGGAGCAAAC